CCCCGACCCCUCGCAGAAAAAAAAGGCACUUGAAAAUGUCUGGGAGGGUUUUGUUGGCCUUUUUCGGUUGUUUUCUGUGCCGGGUUGUGCCGGGGAGCACAUGGCGGACCUUAACAAAGUUUCACUUGAAAAUUAAGUUGCCUUCCUGGCUACUAUGCGAAUUCAAUAAAUUUACUUCAGGACAUGCGGGUGUGUAUUAAAAAGGACAAUAUAAAAAAUGGAGUUCACUGCCCCAGUGCUAAGUAUCAACCUACUCUUUUUUUUUAAUAACUACACUCCUCAAGCACCUCCAUUUAAAUGCAUAUAGAAAUGUAUACAUUGCUUCGAGAGUAAGGAAAUAAAAAUGGUGGCUCUACCGUCUUUCAUUUUGACAAGAA